GCCUAUCUAGCUCAGUUGGUAAAAUACAAUGCUUUUAACCUUGUGGUCGUGGGUUCGAGCCUCGCGGUUGGUG
rnacentral:tRNA from 1 species